UACGUAGGGUGCAAGCGUUAAUCGGAAUUACUGGGCGUAAAGCGUGCGCAGGCGGUUUUUGUAAGACAGGGCGUGAAAUCCCCGGGCGUUAACCUGGGAAUUGCGUUUGUGACUGCAAGGCUGGAGUGCGGCAGAGGGGGAUGGAAUUCCGCGUGUAGCAGUGAAAUGCGUAGAUAUGCGGAGGAACACCGAUGGCGAAGGCAAUCCCCUGGGCCUGCACUGACGCUCAUGCACGAAAGCGU
rnacentral:rRNA from 1 species